rnacentral:rRNA from 1 species
UACGUAGGUGGCAAGCGUUGUCCGGAUUUACUGGGCGUAAAGAGCGCGCAGGCGGUCGUUCAAGUCGCGUGUGAAAGCCCCCGGCUCAACUGGGGAGGGUCACGCGAUACUGAUCGACUCGAAGGCAGGAGAGGGUAGUGGAAUUCCCGGUGUAGUGGUGAAAUGCUUAGAUAUGACAUAGAACACCAAUUGCGAAGGCAGCUGGCUACGCGAAUAUUGACACUGAUGCACGAAAGCGUGGGGAUCAAACAGG